GACGAACGCUGGCGGCGUGCUUAACACAUGCAAGUCGAACGGAAAGGCCCUGCUUUUGUGGGGUGCUCGAGUGGCGAACGGGUGAGUAACACGUGAGUAACCUGCCCUUGACUUUGGGAUAACUUCAGGAAACUGGGGCUAAUACCGGAUAGGAGCUCCUGCUGCAUGGUGGGGGUUGGAAAGUUUCGGCGGUUGGGGAUGGACUCGCGGCUUAUCAGCUUGUUGGUGGGGUAGUGGCUUACCAAGGCUUUGACGGGUAGCCGGCCUGAGAGGGUGACCGGCCACAUUGGGACUGAGAUACGGCCCAGACUGCUACGGGAGGCAGCAGUGGGGAAUAUUGCACAAUGGGCGGAAGCCUGAUGCAGCAACGCUGCGUGCGGGAUGACGGCCUUCGGGUUGUAAACCGCUUUCGCCUGUGACGAAGCGUGAGUGACGGUAAUGGGUAAAGAAGCACCGGCUAACUACGUG
rnacentral:rRNA from 1 species